rnacentral:lncRNA from 1 species
UGGGCUACAUGUGAAGGGUAAAACCUGGAAGGUUGUCUCUUUAAAUCAACGCUGCGGCGCUGAUGUGCCCUGGAGCGCAGACGGUAGGAACCAUCUCCACCUCUGCAAUAGGGAGCCUUCACCGAGCUCGCUCCACAGCGCCACGGCCACGUUGAAUCAGAUCCCAUUCCCAUACUUUCUCUCUGACGCUUGGUAGAUCCCACGCGCUACAGAAGGAUAGUAAACUUAUCAAUCGCUUUCGGUACGGGGGGAGGGCUAAAUGUAUACCGGAUUUUAACCAGUGGUAUCCUUUGGAGGGUGCUCUCUCCAUGUGCCAUACGCUCGUGUCGUGGGACUACUGCUCCCGUCUGCAAUCUGUUGAUGACACGGGUUCCAAGCGUUGUGUGGUUCGUCCUCUGUGGUGAUUAUGGAGUACUUUUUACUUCCAUAUUUUGGUGAAAUCUCGGGGAUGAUGGGGCGAACGUCGUCGCCUCCACACCAGUUGCUUUCGUCGAAUUAGAUGGACCAAGUGCCGGUUACAGCGCGCUCUCCAUUACCGCCCGUCCCCUCGUGCCGGAGGAUGACCCCUCCGAAGCCCACUGUAACUCUGACCUUCUGGGUGGACUCAAGUGCCAUGGGCCAAGUGGCCAUGUCGUAACGGACUUUCAUUCCUUGUUGAGACAACACUGUUUUCAAACUGGACGACAACUUUAUAGGACUUAUGGUGAGUAUACCGCAGUUUAUGGGCUGUUUGGUCAUCAUGUACGAUGUGUAUGUAUACCUGUUAGUUUCUUCGCUAUUUCAUGGAGUUUGAAGGAUAGGCAAGUUGAAAGUUCAUGUUGGCGAGUGCAUGUGACGUGGUACCAUCAGACACAUGCGCUGCACAUGUGUUAAAUCAGCUGUAAUGGUUCUAACUUCUGGAAUAACCUGCCACCUAAUAGGAUGAUAGGUAAUGCCGCGUUUCUUAUGUCGAACGUUCUUUACCCAAGCUAGCUGUCAUUGGUCCGUAUCUGUUGUCGGAGUGGAUUCCAAGAAACACAAGGGAUACCUCACCAUGGCAUCAUAGUGGGGCUUAUCGCUGCAUUCCCAGAGCGUGACAGACAGAAUCCAUUUGUUGCAGUGCGGGACGCAUAGCCAACGCUGAAGUGAUACAUUGUUGAAGUCAUUCUGUUUACUCACACGUAAUCAAUAUACACAAACCGUUUUGUGUGUUUACCGACUUGCGCGAAAGAAAAAGAAAUAGAAAGGAGCAUUUCACUCUAAGGGCAGCCGCACCAGAGACUCUGGAAGCUAGAGAAGGCGUGCAUUGAAUAUCAAUUGUCGUUGUCAGCUAAUCAUUGCAAGAAGCUGUGGCAUGUGCGUGGCCUUGGUUAUCCUUCCAGAAUUGUGUAUCCCCGGUUGCUCAUGUGUUGCUACCGUACACAGCGCCAGCCAAAACCUCAGUAAGAAGAGUGGCUUAGUGAAUCAAAAUGGAAUUGCACUCUGG